UACGGAAGGCAGCAGUGGGGAAUAUUGCACAAUGGGCGCAAGCCUGAUGCAGCCAUGCCGCGUGUAUGAAGAAGGCCUUCGGGUUGUAAAGUACUUUCAGCGGGGAGGAAGGCGAUGUGGUUAAUAACCGCGUCGAUUGACGUUACCCGCAGAAGAAGCACCGGCUAACUCCGUGCCAGCAGCCGCGGUAAUACGGAGGGUGCAAGCGUUAAUCGGAAUUACUGGGCGUAAAGCGCACGCAGGCGGUCUGUUAAGUCAGAUGUGAAAUCCCCCGGGCUUAAACCUGGGAACUGCAUUUUGAAACUGGCAGGCUUGAGUCUCGUAGAGGGGGUUAGAAUUCCAGGUGUAGCGGUGAAAUGCGUAGAGAUCUGGAGGAAUACCGGUGGCGAAGGCGGCCCCUGGACGAAGACUGACGCUCAGGUGCGAAAGCGUGGGGAGCAAACAGGAUUAGAUACCCGU
rnacentral:rRNA from 1 species